UUUCGAAUAGCCAUUGGCACAUACAGUAUGUACAUGUGUACAUUGCGAAUAUUAUAAAUAUAAACUGUACGACAAUUAUUCAGCUAUAAUCCGUACGACAACAUUUUGAGACAUACUGAUUUUCUAAUUUUUAUAAAGAACUGAUUGCUACGACGAUAAAUCUAUACAGUAAUGAUAAUUGAGCUUUACAUCUUUUUUUCAUCGUAGUUCCGAACUGUGAUUUUAUUUAAAUCAGUUGGUUGCAGAGAGGACCAAAAUAUCUGUCUGUUACUAAUCGGUGUCUAGUGAAGAUCGGGUUUUGGAUAUAAGUUCUUAUAAAAAAGCAUGGAGAAGAUUUCGAGAAUAUGAGAAGUGUACGUUAAGAAUAGUUUUACGAUACUUUAAAAAUAGCCAUAGAUCUUCCCGUUCUGAAGAAAAUAAUUUUUUUUAUUUUUGAGCUUAUCGAUGUAAUUCCGGAACUACGUGGUAACAGAAGUUAACAUGAUAGAUAAUUUAAUAUUGGAUCAUGGUGUAACAUGUGUAAAAAUGAACCCAAUAACGCUGACAGCAACCUACCAUACGAAAACAAGCCAUGGCCUUUGAAACAUACAUUUUUCCUUAUAUACGAAUUUUUUGAAACUUGGUAUACAGGAAUCUUUGGGGUCGCUGAUUACAAAUAUGGAGUCAAAUUUUGAAAAUCUUCAAAAUUCAAAAUGGCGGACCUGACAUGAAAAUGUAAAAAUGAUCCCGAUCACUGAAAAUCUUGUAUUUAGGGAAAAUAAAAAGCUGGAAGAAGAAACUCGCUACGUCCUUGUCGUUAGUUUUGAGUAAUGCUAAAAGCGAGAUUUCUUAGAGGUUUUCUAUUUGCCACCAUGUUUGACUGCAAUUUUGAAUUUUGUAAUUGUCAACAUAUUCGUAAUCAACUACUCAAAAAACUUUCUAACAUAAAGUUAUGUUAAAUGUUCACUUUAGGGGAGUCACCUUUGGUGAUCUUGAUCUUGACAUAUAUUAUAGAGGUCAUCCUCCUGAGUAACCUUCAGAAGGUUUUAGCCGUCGCUCGUUGUUUGUUAAAAUGUUAUUAACAAAAAAUGUUUUAGAAAUUGAUCUUAAUUCUUGCACGCAGUGCAAACAUAAAGAGAGAUACAGUGCACAGGAUAAAUAAAUUAUAUUGAAAAAAUUAUUUAUUCAAUAUUUAUAAUAAAUUUAUUCAGUAAAAUUUCCGCUAAGUGGAUAGAAAUUGGCCAUAAUUUCAGAAAAUUUAUCGAUUCGAUCUUCAUAAUGAUAUUUUUGCUUGAACAAAAAUUCAGCUAAAUAAUGCGCAUAAUGAUUUUCAUUUCUACCAAAAGAGGUAUUCUAUUGCGUAUAUCACACCAUAAUCUUUCGAUGUUUUGAGUAUGAACUCCAGUAACCGGAUCGACAAAAUUGCGAGAAUGAUUUACAGUUUGAUGUAAAUAAUUUUCUUUACAUAAAGCGUCGUAACCACGCCAACAAUCAUUGUAUAUUAUAUAAUACUUCCCGAUGCAAUAUAACGACGAAUGAUGAGUAUUAAUAUAGCUAAUGUUCUGACUGGUACUGGCAUCACAAAUAACCGAUCACUCUGUCUUUCCAUACCUCCAAAUAACCAUUGUCCAGUAAUUAAUUUUCCUUCAUGAUAUUUUCGACGUCCGAAUUUUGCUUCGUCUAUUUCCACAAUUAUCCCUGGGCCGCCUAAUAGUUUGCUAUUAUCAGUCACCCACUGAUUUAGUAACUAAAAUGUGAAUAACUUAUUAAUUAGACAAAUUAUUUUAAGUAAAUUAAUAAUACUAACUUCACCACAAAAAUUAACCCAAUCCACAGCAACGGAUCUUGAUAUUUGAAUUUACGUUUCCAAUAGUUUCUAUCGUGGUGAAUUCAUCAUUAAAAAAUAAGAAAUUAUACGACAUAUUUUCACUAGAUCUAAAUGUGCUUUUGCAAACCACGUUCUUGUUAUUGCACUUAACUUAAAAUUGCAAGUCUUUUUUUGCCGUAUUCGUCCACGAAUUUGUUUAUAAUACAUAUCGGUGCAAUGCAUUAUAAGUGAUUCUUCUGGUUUUAAACGAAUUCUUUUAUCACAUCGUGGACAUAAGAUAUUUUUUCGGAGCAUUUUUUUCGCACUUAAGUAGUUUACUAAAUUUUCAUAAUUAUAUAUUAAAUGAAUAAACUCAUGAAACAGCAUGAUGAAAAUAUCUUACUUUAGCUAAGCUCCACGAUACACUAAUAAUGUAUGUCGGGACAUGAUCAUAACACACAUACAAUAGUAGUGCGUGUCAGAACAUGAUCAUAACAUGAUUAUCAACAUAGAAAUCGUACAUACGAUCAAAACAAAAAUCGCGCAAUAUACUCUGUGUGCAAAAAUUAUGUUAAAUUUUUUUUAGUAAGUACUGCAAUCUCGAACGACUAGCGGGGGACGUUGCCCCCCGCACCUCCCUUAAAAACUAGCCUAACCCAACCUAUCGUCACAUUAAGCGUCAGUCAUUGUUUAUUAAAGUGUUGAACUUUUUUGUGUUAAUGUGACGGUAGGUUAGUUUUGAGGGGGAGU